AAAUUGAAGAGUUUGAUCAUGGCUCAGAUUGAACGCUGGCGGCAGGCCUAACACAUGCAAGUCGAACGGUAACAGGAAGCAGCUUGCUGCUUUGCUGACGAGUGGCGGACGGGUGAGUAAUGUCUGGGAAACUGCCUGAUGGAGGGGGAUAACUACUGGAAACGGUGGCUAAUACCGCAUAACGUCGCAAGACCAAAGAGGGGGACCUUCGGGCCUCUUGCCAUCAGAUGUGCCCAGAUGGGAUUAGCUAGUUGGUGAGGUAACGGCUCACCAAGGCGACGAUCCCUAGCUGG
rnacentral:rRNA from 1 species